CGAGCGUGUGGGAAGCCGAUCUCGGGCGGUUAAGAGCUCUCGUCCGAGAGGCCGCGCAUCGCGGCCCUAAUCAACCGUGGUCGCCGGAUCCUGCCUUUGGUAAGGUCAGCGGCCGUGACUACGGCUAUUUCCUCUACAA
rnacentral:misc_RNA from 1 species